UUACGUGAAGGGACAUGGUUGAAGAAAUUAAACAAGAAAACUGAAAUAUCAAGUAUUAGCAUGGUGCAUUUGUGAGCUACGGGCAAAAUUGUGUCAGAGAGACUUGGAAAGGAAGAGUUUAAGGUCAGAGUGAUUCCUGUUCAUUCUCUGCAAAAAGAUUGAUGGCUAUCGAUGCAAACUCAGACUUGUGUGCCAGGAUUAAGAAAAGGGGAAGGCCCAAAGCACUAAAUGACCCUCUGAUUGGCUGGAUUUCCAUCCGAUAAAAG